GUGUUCUGGUACAGAACACUGCCAGAACACUGUGGGAACAUUCCUGACUCUGCUCAGUGUGGGUGAGGCUACACUUGGAGAACAGUGCCUACUUCUGAGCUCUCCAGUUGUGGUGGUGCAUCUGCCCCUGCCCUCGGGACUGCUUUGUGAUUGCUGGAAUGGCUGUUAGGGAUUUGGCAUUUGUGUCAUGAGUUGGGCAGUGAAGCAUCCCUUGACCACACUGGAAACCUUUGCAUGGCUAAAGUGAAAGCAGCGCUGACCAUACCAGGAACUCCUGGUGCCUGGCUGAAGUGAAGGAUGGGAGUGUAACUAAGUCACUGUGCUGGAACCAAGAGAUCUCAGGAAUGAAAGCUGAAGGGACAUUCAUAUUCAUCUCCUUUUGCAAAGCUUAAGAUGUUUCUGGAGGCAGUGGAAAAGACAAACCAUCAGCCUUGUGCCAUCCUCCAUUGGGCAGCAGAGGGGACUGACAAGAUUGAUUGCAAGAACUGCCAUGGAGCAUGAAUCAAUUUGAAGCACAUGAAGAGUGAAGGAAGAGUGGAAGAAAUAUCUAGAAUAAUCCCUCCCAUAUAAAGUUGUUUAAUGGAUCGAGUAAGGACAAAUAGUUCCUGUAAAAAGAACAAGAGUAUUUGGAGUAUUACAGUGGUAUUGUAUUCAGUAACAUGCUUGGAAAGUGUGUGAUUCACCUCUAUUUUCAUACAAUGGGUUGGUUACCCUCUUUUAGUGCGUCCCACAUACCCCAAAACCAGGCUGAAAGCCGCACCCAGUUUUUGGCUAUGAACACCUGAAGGAGGCAAAGGUGAGUUUGUUCACUCUGUGCUUUCAGCUCCUUCAGUAAGUGGCCUUCAACUGUUUGCCAUCACUCUUCAAGCUGUCUUUAGGCAGUGGUUCUUCCAUAUGCACAAUAAAAGCAGAUCAUUUCCCUUUAGUUAUCUGGAGUCCCAUAAAGACAGAAAUUUUGGUGGGACUGAGUGUGUGCCAUGUGAUUUGUGUCUAAUGCUUUUGCUAUCUUUGGGCUUUCAAAGCUGACAGUGAGAGCUGACAGUAUGCUGCUGUUUUGGAAUUCAC